GACGAACGCUGGCGGCGUGCUUAACACAUGCAAGUCGAACGGAAAGGCCCCUUUGGGGGUACUCGAGUGGCGAACGGGUGAGUAACACGUGAGUAACCUGCCCUUGACUUCGGGAUAACUUCAGGAAACUGGGGCUAAUACCGGAUAGGAAUCCUUGCUGCAUGGUGGGGGUUGGAAAGCUUCGGCGGUUUUGGAUGGACUCGCGGCGUAUCAGCUUGUUGGUGGGGUAGUGGCUUACCAAGGCUUUGACGGGUAGCCGGCCUGAGAGGGCGACCGGCCACAUUGGGACUGAGAUACGGCCCAGACUCCUACGGGAGGCAGCAGUGGGGAAUAUUGCACAAGGGGCGGAAGCCUGAUGCAGCAACGCCGCGUGCGGGAUGACGGCCUUCGGGUUGUAAACCGCUUUCAGCAGGGGCGAAGCUUGUGGUGACGGUACCUGCAGAAGAAGCACCGGCUAACUACGUG
rnacentral:rRNA from 1 species